GUUGGGGAGCGGCUGAGUCGGCCUUUUCCGCCCGCUCCCCCCUCCCCCCGAGCGCCGCUCCGGCUGCAUCGCGCUCGCUCCGAGCUCCGGGCUCCUGCCAAGCCAGCGCCGCCAGUCUCCCUCCGGUCGCCAUCAUGAUCAUCUACCGGGACCUCAUCAGCCACGAUGAGAUGUUCUCCGACAUCUACAAGAUCCGGGAGAUCGCGGACGGGCUGUGCCUGGAGGUGGAGGGGAAGAUGGUCAGCAGGACAGAGGGCAGCAUCGAUGACUCUCUCAUUGGUGGAAAUGCCUCCGCUGAGGGCCCUGAGGGCGAAGGCACCGAAAGUACAGUAAUCACUGGUGUUGACAUUGUCAUGAACCAUCACUUGCAGGAAACCAGCUUCACAAAAGAAGCCUACAAGAAGUACAUCAAAGAUUAUAUGAAAUCAAUUAAAGGCAAACUUGAAGAACAGAGGCCAGAAAGAGUAAAACCCUUUAUGACGGGGGCUGCAGAACAAAUCAAGCACAUCCUUGCUAAUUUCAAAAACUACCAGGUAUUUGUUAUUUGCUUCUUAAGUUCUUUAUUGGGGAAAACAUGAAUCCAGAUGGCAUGGUUGCUCUACUGGACUACCGCGAGGAUGGUGUGACCCCAUAUAUGAUUUUCUUUAAGGAUGGCUUAGAGAUGGAAAAAUGUUAACAAAUUUGGCAGUUACUUUGGAUCUAUCACCUGUCAUCAUAAUUGGCUGUUUGUCAUCUACACAACACCAGGACAAAACGGGACUGAUGUCAUCUUGGGCUCUUCGUUUAUUUUUGACCUUGAUUUAUUUGGAGCGGAGGCAUUGUUUUUAAGGAAAAACAUGUCUUGUUAGGUUGUCUAAAAAAUAAAAUGCAUUUAAACUCA